rnacentral:rRNA from 1 species
CGGACGGGUGAGUAACGCGUGGAUAACCUGCCCCAUACCGGGGGAUAACAGUCGGAAACGGCUGCUAAUACCGCAUAAGCGCACGGGAAUGCAUGUUUCUGUGUGAAAAACUCCGGUGGUAUGGGAUGGAUCCGCGUCUGAUUAGCUGGUUGGCGGGGUAGAGGCCCACCAAGGCGACGAUCAGUAGCCGACCUGAGAGGGUGGCCGGCCACAUUGGGACUGAGACACGGCCCAGACUCCUACGGAAGGCAGCAG